rnacentral:rRNA from 1 species
CCUACGUGUGGCUGCAGUGGGGAAUAUUGGACAAUGGGCGAAAGCCUGAUCCAGCCAUGCCGCGUGUUUGAAGAAGGCCUUCGGGUUGUAAAGCACUUUCAGUGGGGAAGAAAGCCUUGGGGCUAAUACCCUCGAGGAAGGACAUCACCCACAGAAGAAGCACCGGCUAACUCCGUGCCAGCAGCCGCGGUAAUACGGAGGGUGCGAGCGUUAAUCGGAAUUACUGGGCGUAAAGCGCGCGUAGGCGGUCUGAUAAGCCGGUUGUGAAAGCCCCGGGCUCAACCUGGGAACGGCAUCCGGAACUGUCAGGCUAGAGUGCAGGAGAGGAAGGUAGAAUUCCCGGUGUAGCGGUGAAAUGCGUAGAGAUCGGGAGGAAUACCAGUGGCGAAGGCGGCCUUCUGGACUAACACUGACGCUGAGGUGCGAAAGCGUGGGUAGCAAACAGGAUUAGAUACCCCAUAGUC